rnacentral:rRNA from 1 species
GACGUAGGGCGCGAGCGUUGUCCGGAUUUAUUGGGCGUAAAGAGCUCGUAGGCGGCUUGUCGCGUCGACCGUGAAAACUUGGGGCUCAACCCCAAGCCUGCGGUCGAUACGGGCAGGCUCGAGUUCGGUAGGGGAGACUGGAAUUCCUGGUGUAGCGGUGAAAUGCGCAGAUAUCAGGAGGAACACCGGUGGCGAAAGCGGCUACCUGGCCCAUUCUUGACGCUGAGGCGCGAAAGCUAGGGGAGCAAACGGG